rnacentral:rRNA from 1 species
UAAUCUACCUUCGGGUGGGGAAUAACCCAGGGAAACUUGGGGCUAAUACCGCAUAAUGCAGCGGCACCACAUGGUGACAGUUGUUAAAGCGGGGGAUCUUCGGAUCUCGCGCCUGAAGAGGAGCCUGCGGCAGAUUAGCUAGUUGGUAAGGUAACGGCUUACCAAGGCGACGAUCUGUAGCCGGCCUGAGAGGGCGGUCGGCCACACUGACACUGACAUACGGGUCAG